UACGAAGGGGGCUAGCGUUGUUCGGAAUUACUGGGCGUAAAGAGCUCGUAGGUGGUUUGUCGCGUUGUUCGUGAAAACUCACAGCUUAACUGUGGGCGUGCGGGCGAUACGGGCAGACUGGAGUACUGCAGGGGAGACUGGAAUUCCUGGUGUAGCGGUGGAAUGCGCAGAUAUCAGGAGGAACACCGGUGGCGAAGGCGGCCUGCUGGGCAGUAGCUGACACUGAGGCGCGACAGCGUGGGGAGCAAACAGG
rnacentral:rRNA from 1 species